rnacentral:lncRNA from 1 species
GAAGUCUGUUUCUUCCGGAAACUGCAGAGCAAGAAGGAAGUUGUGGUGUAAGAACCAAUUCUGCAUACAGAAUUCCUAAUGCAAUAUGACACAGAUCAAAAGAUGGGACAUGAUUUUGGCAUCAAGCCUCCAUGAACAAAACAAAAGUUAAAACGCAAAGCUAUGAAAACACAACCAUCCUUUUUGAAAGACUUGCGCCAAGAACAUAGAAGCUACCGCCAAGCAAAACUCAAUCUAUCCUUUUUGAAAGACUUGCGCCAAGAAAAACGUAGCACAUAAAUAGCAACUCUAAUGCUAAACAUCUCAAAACAAUUAAAGAAAUGUGCACUCAAGCUAAUAAAUACACACCGAGUCCCAGACCCAGGUUAAAAUGCAGUUAUAUUAAUUAGCAGAACUAUUUCACACAGAUGACUCCAAAGUCAGCAUAUGUCAGCAUACACAAAUUAAGACCUUGAAUCUUGAAUGUACACUGUCACACUAGAAAUUCAGAGAUGACACCAUGUCAAACAAGUUAAUGCACAGUACACUAUCUAAUAUAAAAAGGACAGCCAUAGUCACAACAACAAUAGAUAAAAAGUUUAUGUGAACACAGAACUGAUAUGUGUUUAGCUAAGUUGUUCAACAAAUGCAGCAAGAAAAAUCCAGAAAAUGUAAGAACUUUGCAUUUCAGACUGUACAAUAUAGGCAAUACAAUCGUUUUGGACAAAAUCAUUUUUCAUAAUUAUACCACGAACAAAGGACACACAGAAUCAAAGAGUGCAUAAUCACAGCAAAGCUUAUAAAUGUAAAAAAAAACUGCCCUAACAACUGUGCAUAGAUAAUUGAUCUGCGGCACAUAGAUUCUUAUGAGCAACAGCAAGCAAAACUAGGAAUAUUAAUAGCUCAGUAACCUCAAAUACNNNNNNNNNNNNNNNNNNNNNNNNNNNNNNNNNNNNNNNNNNNNNNNNNNNNNNNNNNNNNNNNNNNNNNNNNNNNNNNNNNNNNNNNNNNNNNNNNNNNNNNNNNNNNNNNNNNNNNNNNNNNNNNNNNNNNNNNNNNNNNNNNNNNNNNNNNNNNNNNNNNNNNNNNNNNNNNNNNNNNNNNNNNNNNNNNNNNNNNNNNNNNNNNNNNNNNNNNNNNNNNNNNNNNNNNNNNNNNNNNNNNNNNNNNNNNNNNNNNNNNNNNNNNNNNNNNNNNACAAAUAUGAUGUCACGUUAGAUAACAACAAUCAUACAGAAAUGGUAAAGAUAAUACAUACUGAGCACAGAUCAACAAAGAGACAAACAUUGCAGUUGAGCCACUAUGUGAUAUCAAAUCUAUAUACACAGAGAACCACAAACACAACAUAAUGUCGUAAUCUUAUAUAUAUUUUCUGAAAGGAUAAGCUGUCAUUAAAACUGUACGGAAUUGUCCAUAACUAUGUUCAAAGUAACCCAUAACAUAUAACGUUUUGAAUAACCACACACCUGACCCUUCUUAGCUAUCAAUUUAUCAAUACAAAGGACCAGGAACAUACUUGAGAUGCCAACAACAGGGAACAAGAUAUCAGAUAAACAUAAAUUCACAACUCGUACAAAUGAAGAAAGAUAACAAAGUGAAGCUAAUACCUUACACUUAGUUAUUAGUUUAUAUCAAUACAAAGGACCAGGAACUUCCUUGAGAUGCCAAAUCAUUACGAGCAUCCACCUCUAGAGAUGUAUCUUAACUAAAAUAAAGGACGGCCCUUGUAAUUGUGAGAUUUAAAAUAAGAUACGUGCUAUCACACUUGAGCCACUGUGCACCAACAACUUUAACAUGACAUAAUGUCAUAAUCUUAUAUACUUUCUGAGAAAAGAAGCUAUAAGUAAAAAUUGAAGGACACAUCAGAGGGAAUGAUAACAACUGCCCAAAAUUAAUGCACAUCAAUAAGAAACGUGGUCUGAACAGACAAGGCACACAGCCCUGGAAAUAUAUUACCUGCAUGUGAGGGCUGCAACAGAUAAUCAACAACAAUUAUAUAUAAAAGUAGCUUCCUUCAGCAGAACAACUAAAUAAAAGGCAUGAUCCAAGAAACCUCACUUGGUUCAGCUGCACUCUAAAUUAAUUUUAUUGAACUAAGCUUUCUGGCAGAAACUCAACAACCUAAGGGACAUGGUGCAAUUCAGCAACCUUUUAAACGCAAACAAUUGCUUGCAUUGCCUAGAACCUUGUCAGGUUACCUGAUUCGAGUCUAACACCAGACAGCCUAACCCACAUCAGAUUGGUAGGCAAAGAAAAUCUCCUACCAAAGGCAUACUAGUCCAGAUGUUUUCGUGUGCAUCUACUAGUAAUCAUGAAUCAGCACAGAUGCACUCCAAAUCAAUUAUCAGGCAGACACGUCAAGGAUGUGGCAACCUAAACCACACCCCAAAGAACCCCCAACCGAGAUAUACCCACAGUUCCUUGAGAUCACUCGGAUCUGAACCCUAGUGGAGUGGGGAGAAAGAUCCCUCUCUGAACCCUAGGAGAGGGGGGAGGUUAGUAGGUACCUGGCCUUUCUUUGCUCCCGAGGAAGACCAUCCACCGCGUGCAGACGAACCCCCGUGAUUCUCGUUCAUCAGUCCCCACGACGGCCAGACCGCCUUAAGGUGAGCCAUCAGGGAGGAGGAGGAAGCGGGUGGAGCGCAGCGAUGGGGAUGAGUACGAGCGAGCGCUGGUCGAGCGAUUGGUGGAGGCGGAGGACUGAUUUGGGGAGAACGAUGCCACAGCCUGGUAAUGGGUCGGGGGGCUACAUAUCAUAGGCUCAUUGGGCUACUGGGCCAACGGAUGGCUUCUGAUGAUCUAGUAGAUGCUUUUAAUUAGCCCACCACAUUAGCUUUUAUUGAUAUAUGUCAUUUCAUUUCCCUUUUGAGUAUUAGGGGAGACCAAAUUUCUAAGGAGCGAAAUGUCCCAAAGAUACUCCAACUUAUCCUGUAAUCCAUUGGGAAGGCCCAGAUAGAUAAAUGUCACACUAUAACUAAGGGCAGCCCAUAAUAAGGUCUGCUGCAAUAUAAACCCACCUAAGAGCAUUUUCACAAUAAAAAUCAAAAUUUUGGGGAGUUGGGCCAAAAAAACCUGCUUCAACAAAGCCGAAUCCCCGAAAAAUUUAUAGGGAAGCCAGAAAAAUAAUCAUUCCCCAAUACGAGUCACAAUACUCGCACGUUAGAACGCCGCCUGCCCACAGCGCCGUCGCCCGCACACCACCACCAGUCCAAGACCCACAACGGGACGAGGCAACUAUUCACCAACCGGAUGAAUACGUGUUGUUGCUUAUGAGAAUGUGCUACUAUUAUGAUGUAUCGUUGUUUAUAAAUUAUGAUUACAUGUUGUUUAUAACUAUGUACUACUCAAGUUUUUUUUUCGAAAUGGAACUAUGUACUACUCAAGUUGAUGUGUUGUAAAUGUAGAUAAUUUUAACUCACCCAACCCGUUUACCCUGUUGGGCUCAAAAGGGGCUCUAAAGGGAAGUAUAAGGGUACGGGGUGACUUCACCCGUGCCCAAUACCCAAUGAGUACCAUCCCUACCCUCACAUUUUUUUUAUGUCUUUGCAGGGUUGCCUGGGUCAUCUACUUUUGCAAUGGAGAAGGAAUUCCAGCGGUGCUGCUCUGCUGCUAAAUGCUCCCUCCUUUUCUAAAUAUAAGUCUUUCUAGAGAUUUCACUAUGGACUACAUACGGAUAUAUAUAGACAUAGUUUAGAGUGUAGAUUCACUCAUUUUGCUCCUUAUGUAGUUUCUUAUUGGAAUCUCUAAAAAGACUUAUAUUUAGGAACGAAGGAAGUAGUGAACAAUAUAGUCACUCCCUCCAUAAACUAAUAUUUUUAGUGAUGUAAAACGUCUUAUUAGUUUAGAGGGAGUAUAUAUAUUGAAUCUACUGCGAGUAACAUGGCAAGGUGGAUGGGGUUAAGGAUUGGUACUAACAAGAUAAGUAAGUUUUUAGUUUAUCAAUACUCCCUCCGUCCGGAAAUACUUGUCAUCAAAAUGAAUAAAAGGGGAUGUAUCUAGAUGUAUUUUAGUUCUAGAUACAUCCUUUUUUGUCCAUUUUGAUGACAAGUUUUUUUCGGACGGAGGGAGUACAAAGGACCAGGACUUACUUGAGAUGCCAACUCCUUCAUCUUUUGAACAUCAUUACUUGAGCAUCCACACCAAACUGCUACUACAAUGAUUGAGACUCUUGCAUCCCUUUCCCUUCUGAUGCGUACAAGAGGUCCGCUCCACCCUUCUUAGAUUAAAGGUGGAGGGGUACUUCUGAAAAAGAAAAAGGAGACCUGUGGAACAAACAGGGUUCACAGGGCAAGAGCAUCAGUACUUUUGAAAAAAAAGAAUACACCAUUUACUGAUUAUAAUGAGAAAAAAUAUGAAAAAAGAAUAAAGAUUGAGGGGUACGGCCGUGGACCAUCGUUGUCAUCCACAACUAUGAAAAGCUGCCAUCCACAAGUACAUUUACAUGGUGGCAUAUGAACGUGGCAGUACAAACGACAAAAGGUAAAUGAGCUCAUAGUUUAUCAAUAGAAAGGAAGCAGGGCAUACCAAAUCCUUUGCACACUCCGACCUCGAACUGGCUACGAUUCUGCUUCAAGUCGUCCAUGUCCCUCCUGCGCCCGGUUGGAUUCGGCUCGUAGAACGCAAUGCGUCGGCCCGUAAUAACAAAGGACAAUUCUCUGCACACUUUCGACCUCGAAGUCUGCACACCUCGACCUCCAACUGGCGACGACUUUUCUUUCAAAAAAAAAAAAAAACUGGCCACGACUUUGCUUACAUCCACGGCGUCACGGGCAACCUGACACGCUGGAUGUGGUUAAAGAUUGGUAAAUACUCCAAGCUGAAUAGAUUAUUAGUUUAUCACCAAUGCAAAGGACCAGAAACUUACCUGAGAUGCCACUUCAGCUUCUGCACGUCACGAGCUGCUACGACAUGUUUGCUUCCGGUAGGCUCGUGUAAAAAAAUAGCUUCGCAGUGCACAGUACUGGCGCUAUCCACUGUUGUAUUUUAUUUGAUGGGACAACUGCAGAGGUGCGGCCGCAAGUGAACAAGGCGCAUCCAUUACGUGUUGACGUGGUACGGUGGGCGGGUUGAAGGAUUGGUGAAACCCGUCCAGAUGCGUUGCCAUAGGUAAAAUAAGCUCGCCGUUUAUCAAUCGCUCCGACCAGGGCAUACCAAAUCUUGUGCCUCUACACCACGAACUCGCUACUGCUUUGCUUAAAAUUCAUCCAUCCCCGUCAUGCGUCCGGCUCGACUCGUGCAACGCAUGCGUCAGUCCGUCUGUAACAAAGAAAAAUAGAGCUAGCAUCAGCAUCAACAAAUGAACUCUGAAUAAUUCAGAGUAAAAACUGUACGACUUAUACAAACCCUAGGUCGAAAAUCGUUUGCACAAAAACUGUACGACUUAUACAAACUGUAGUAAGGUCUAUCCAAACCCUAGGUUUAGGUCGAAAAUCGCUUGUAAAAACUGUUCAAUCCAUACAGACCUUAGGUUCUAAAUUAGGUCAAAAAUCGUCUGUAAAAACUGUGGAAUCUGUUAACAAAGUAUAUCUAACUACUAGUACACUAUUUCAUCAUUAAUCAAACAAUAAAAAUAAAAAUAAAAAAAUCUCACGAGUCUCCGUGUUAAAUCAAACAUCAAACUUGUAGGAGUUAGAUGAGACAUAGUUAUUUCUCAUCUAGACGAGAGCUAGACCGAAAACAAGCAUUUACAAACCCUUGAUUGUAGGUACUAGAAAACAAAAUCAAGAACAAUUGUAACUGUUCUAGGAUCCAUAAAAACUAGUCUAAGACGUCCACAAACCUCAUACUCCUAGGUUUAGGUCAAAAAUCGCUUGUAAAAACUGUUCGAACUAUACAGACCCUAGGUUCUAAAUUAGGUCGAAAAUCGUUUGUGCAAAAACUGUAGAAUCUGUUGACAAAGUCAAUCUAACUACUAGUACACUAUUUCAUUAAUCAAACUUAAAAAAAAUUCACGAGUCUCCGUGUUAAAUCAAACAUCAAACGCUGUAGGAGUUAGAUGAGACAUAGUUAUUUCUCAUCUAGACGAGAGCUAGACCAAAAACAAGGAUAUACAAACCGCAGAUUUGUAUGUGCUAGAAAACAAAUCAAGAACAAUUGUAGCUGUUCUUAGAUCCAUAGAAAACUAGUCUAAGACGCCCACAAACCUCAUACAGACCUUAGAAAAAAUAAACAAAAAAUCCUAAAUCGCCCUAGAAAACAAAUCCUAAACAUAUAGUAUGAAACUAGACUAAGACGCACACAAAUCUUAAACCAAAACAAGAUGUGUAAGCGGAACGCGGAGUACUUCCAAAGGCCUUGAAACCUCGAUUCAAAACCUUUGAAAAUACCCCACGAUCUGUAGGCAUCGUCGGCAAACCUUGAAGGAUCCGUAGACACGGGUCCAAAACUCAAAAGGAUUCAAGAAGAAAGAAAUCUAGAGGACUCGCAUAGGAUCCCAACAGCGAUUCAAAACCUUUGCAAAGACUCUAAUCGGAUCCUCGGAGAAACCCCGAGGAUCCGAAGACGUGGCCACGGAACUCCAGAGAUUUGCAAAGAUUGUCUCGAAUUCGUAUGGACGGAUUUUGGGAUGCAGAGGGUGGAGAGGGGAUUGGGAGGAGGGGCUGCGGCCGGAAGGGCAUCCCAAAGCGAGGGUUCUCUUCUCACCAAGGCGGCUUUGCCUCCUGUCCCCACACGGCUCCCCAGGCCGGGCGUCAGAUCUGGGCAAAGGUCACCCAUCAGCACACGCCUCUCCACGCCCAGCUGCUCAGACCAGGAUAAUCAAUGCGUUUGACGCGCCUUUCCAAAUCUGACGCACCGCCCACCCCACCCAGCCCCACCUCUGAUUUGUUUUUCUCUGGCCCGUGAAGGCUGGCCUGAUCCAUUAUUUACGGAAAUUUGACGCUACCUUUGCCGUAGGACGUCUCCCGCUUUGACAGACCCACCCAGAAAAUCGCGGGCCUUCAGUUUCCAGGUCGCAAACGCUUUUCCCAGCGGCGAGACUGAAUCCUACUACACGCUACGGGCGGACGGCCGGACCGGUUACAAAAAUAUGAAAAUGAAAAGAAAAAACUAUGAGCAUAUCGUUGUUUGGUCGUUCGUAUCCAAGCACAGGGGAACAGUUUUGACAUGCCAUUUGGGUUGGCUUGACUCGUGUAACUACACGGAGGUUUCACUGCAUACAGCAGGAAGGUCUGCUUACCUGCACUAUCUACAUCUUACCCGGUGAGCUUACCCGCUAUGUAGGUCACACUGAUCACAGCAAUAAAACUGCACGGCAAUCAUGAUGAACUGGACGAUGAAGAAGUUCUUUAGUCCAAACUAUCGAUCCCACUUGCAAGUUAAACACAGCAUGCCUACAUGAGCACUCGCCAUCCGUGAAAAAUGUACUCCCGGCUUUGUUAAAAAAUGUACGUCUCCUCAAUGAGUUCGGUGGACUUGUUAAGGACACGGUACGCAUGAGUGUUUGUAGCAUAAUCAACAAAUAUGCCCUCAUAAGCUCUAGCCUCAAAUUUAGACAAAUGAACACCUUAUUUGAGAAUGAAACACUUACACCCAAACACCCGGAAGUAUUUGAGAUUGGGCUUGUUACCGAUGAGUAUUUCAUAAGGAGUCUUGUUCAAGCCUUUGCGGAGAUAGAGCCGAUUGGAUGCAUGACAUGCUGUGUCGAUGGCUUCAGCCCAAAAGUUGUAUGGAGACUUGAACUCCGUCAUCAUGGUCCUUGCCGCAUCCAUCAACGUCCGGUUCUUCCUCUCCGCAACACCAUUUUGUUGAGGGGUAUAUGGAGCAGCAUAUUGAUGCUUGAUCCCCUCAUCACUAAGAAACUCAUUCAAGGUGUAGUUUUUGAACUCGGUGCCGUUGUCACUUCUUAUUGUCAAGAUAUUUGCAUCAUGUUGACGUUGAGCUUCAUUUGCAAAGUCGAUGACGGUUUGUUGAGUCUUACUCUUCCUCUUGAAGAAGAAUACCCAAGUGUACCUUGAAUAGUCAUUCACAAUCACCAAGCAAUACUUUCUACCCCCAAGACUAUCAAAGGAUGGAGGCCCAAAAAGAUCCAUGUGAAGGAGCUCCAAGGGUCUUUUCGAGUAGACGAUAGUCGUGGGGGGGUGAGCCUUUUCAUGAAGCUUCCCUUCGAUACAAGCACUGCAAGCACGAUCUUUGGCAAAACUAACAUUUGUUAGUCCACGGACAUGGUCCCCCUUAAGGAGACUUUGCAAAGAUCUCAUAUUGACGUGGGCUAAACGGCGAUGCCAAAGCCAUCCCACGUCAACUUUAGCCAUUAGGCAUGUCGCGGUCUUAGUGGGUUGCUCCGAAAAGUUAAUCACAUAAAGACCGUUCUCGACAUGCCCAACAAAGGCUAUUUUAAGAGUCUUGCUCCACAAGAGGGACACGGUAUCAACAUCAAAGAAAGUGGCAAAACCCAUGAGUGCAAGUUGACAAACGGAGAGAAGAUUGAAUGCAAGGGACUCAACAAGCAUGACUUUCUCGAUCGUAAGAUCAUGAGAAAUGACAACCUUGCCAAGACCCAAUACCUUAGAAGACGAGACAUCACCCCACUCGACAUUGAUGGGCAUAGAAGGAAUCUUGUGCACGUCCACCACCAAGUCCUUGCUUCUGGUCAUAUGAUUUGUUGCUUCACUAUCGAGCAACCAUGAUCCCCACCGGAAGCAAACACCUGCACGAGAUCAAUGCUUGGUUUUAGGUACCCAUUUUGUAAUGGGUCCUUUGAUUUUAGUAACAAGGGUCUUAGGAACCCAAAUAUACCAUUCAACGUACUCAUAAGAAGAACCAACAAAUUUAGCAUAAACAUGCCCAUCACUAGCACGGCACAACACAUAGGAAGGGUUAAAGUCGCCGGCUUUGUUGGAGGAGAUGGUUUUGCCCUUUUUGACAUCAACACCCUUCACAUUUUCCUUCUUCUCCUUAGGAGCACCCUCUCCCUCUUUUCACAAAAGUUUGCUUGAGAGGAGGAGGUCAUUUGGUCUUGUCGUUCUUCUUCUUGUUCUUGGACUUGGGUGCAAACUCAAUUCCCUUCUUGGCCACAACUUCCUUUUGAUUGCUCAAAAGGUCGUUGAGGUUCUUCUCACCUUGAAUGCAUGUCACAAGGCCUUUCUCAAGUUGAUCCUUCAACUUGGUAUUCUCCUCCACAAAAUGCACAUGCUCACAGCACGGUUUAGUAGCAUAUGCAUUAUCAAUUAAUACCAUAUGAGGAAAGGUGGCCUUUUCCUUGGUUAGCUUAACUUGGAGUUGAGCAUGAGACUCCUUGAGGUUAGCAUGAGUACCCUUCAGGGCCUUGUCAAGUACGUCAAACUCCUCCUUGAGUCUAGCAUGAUCAACCCCAAGUUUAGCCUUCUCGGAAGUUAGCACCCGAGACACCACAAGAGCAUGAUCGAGAUCUUUCUUUAACUUAGCAUGUUCAUCGUUUUGUGACUCCUCAAGAGCCAAACGAUGCCCACGCUCUUCCUCAAGAGCAUUAGAGAGAUCUGAUAUCUCAUCGCCAUAGUCAUGACUAUGACCUUCCAUCUUAGAGAUGGUUUCUUCGUGAGCCUCGAUCAUGUCAUUGGCUUCACCAAGUUGUUUCAAGAGAACAACAAAGUGCUUCUUGGAUUUGCCCUUGAGCUUACUCAUAAAGGACUCAAAUUCAUUCACAUCCUCAUUAGACCCCUCAUGUUCAUCAAUGCAACCCGCCAAAGAGGGAUUAGUAAUGAUGGUGGUUUUGAUGUUGGGAGUUACCUUGUUAGAGGCUUUGGCCAUGAGGCACUUGGUGGUGAUGUCCUCGUUGGGUGAAUCGAAGAGAGACAUCCAGGGAGUUGUGGCAAUGGCAACAGAUGCCAUGGCCACCGCUUCACUAUCUUCAUCAUCAUCGUCAUCCUCACGGUAUUCUUCUUGAACCACCAACCCUCGAGUAGGAGUCUUUUUGGUGAAGUUGUUCUUGUUGGGGAAUGACUUGGCUUUGUCUUUUCGGAUGAGCUUGCCACCAUUGUCUUCCCGCUUCUCGUACGGACAAUCCGCAACGAAAUGGCUCACAUUGCCACAGUUGUAACAAGUUCUUACUCGUUGCUUGCCCUUGAAGCCACUUGAGUUGGUGUUGUUGAAAUUGGGCCUUGAAUUCUUCUUGCUCCAAAAUUGUCUUGAAGCAAGAGCCAUGUGCUCAUGAUAAUCAUAUUUCGUAUCUUCGGGGUUGCUCUCCUCAUCCUCCUCUUCUUCCUCUUCUUCCAUAAUAACCUUGGCCUUCAAGGCAAGGUUGGGCUUCUUUGCCCUUUGAGAGCGGAGCACCGCAUUGUCGGCGGUCUUGUCCAAGAUGCUCAUUGCAACAAACUCAUCCAACACUUCACUUGAGGUCAUGGAGUGGAAGUCCGAUCUUUGACGAAUGACGGAGGACAUGGCCUUGUUGUAGGGCAUCAUGGCCUUGAGGAACUUGCGCUUGAUCCAAUUGGCAUCCGUGUCCUUGCUCCCAUGAUCUCAGAGUGAGACCGCGAGUUUGGUCACUCUUUGAAAGAUCUCACGAGGUUCUUCAUCUUCUUUCAUUGCAAACUCAUCGGCUUCAUCUUGCAACACUUCAUAGUUGGAGCGUUGAAUGCUAGCACUUCCCCGAUAGAGAGACACAACGCAUUGCCAUGCGUCUUUGGCCAUGGCAUGGGAUCGAAGAUGAGGGAGAUAUUCGGGAAGGAUUGCAUCUUGGAUGAUGAAGAGAGCAUUCUCAUUGAAUUGAUUAUCCACUGCUUCUCUCGGGGUGAAGUUGCUUCGGUCAUGUGGAUAGAAACCUUCUUUAAUGAUUCUCCAAAGAUUGGUAUUCACAUGAUUUAAAUGACGCUUGAAGCGAUACACCCAAGAAUCAAAAUCCUCAUUUUUCACAAUCUUAGGAGGAGGACCCGCAUGAUUUAAAUGAGUAGAGGGAAUCAGUCCUCCAUAAGUUGGAGGUUCCACAUGGGCAAAGAUGUCGGUGACAUUUCUACCACUAGUAGAAGGACCCUUCUCACUAUUAGCUUCCCCCUUGUCGGAGUUAGCACCCGUCACCUUGUUAGUGGGAUCACCCAUUUUCAACGGCGAGGUAGGUAGUUUAAGUCCUUCUAAGAAUUUAUUAAACAUGCUUUCAACCGUGGUUGUCAUGUAGGUUUUCAAUGUGUCCAAGGCCUCAUUGAAUUUCUCACGGGACACCGUGGUUUCCCCAUCACCCGUAGACAAGAUCGGAUUCACACCGGAGUGCUCCUUCUCCCCAUGGUCUACGGUGUCAACCAUACUCUUCGGACGACAAAGUCCUUAAUAAAGAGACGAGGCUAUGAUACCAAUUGAAAGGAUCGAUAUAGUUGACUAGAGGGGGGGUGAAUAAGCAACUAAUAAUUUUUAGCUUUUAUUUACCAAAUUAAACUUUGCAUCAAAGUAGGUUGUCUAGAUAUGCAACUAGGUGAACAACCCGUAUGAUGCAACAACAACAAGCGCACAAGCAAGCAAGGGAUGUAACACAAGUAAUGCUUGCAAAAGUAAAGGCGCGAGAUAACCAAGAGUGGAGUCGGUGGAGACGAGGAUGUGUUACCGAAGUUCCUUCAUUUUGAGGGGAAGUACGUCUCCGUUAGAGCGGUGUGGAGGCACAAUGCUCCCCAAGAAGCCACUAGGGCCACCGUAUUCUCCUCACGCCCUCACACAAUGCAAGAUGCCGUGAUUCCACUAUUGGUGCCCUUGAAGGCGGCGACCGAACCUUUACAAACAAGGUUGGGGCAAUCUCCACAACUUAAUUGGAGGCUCCCAAUGACACCACGAAGCUUCACCACAAUGGACUAUGGCUCCGAGGUGACCUCAACUGUCUAGGGUGCUCAAACACCCAAGAGUAACAAGAUCCGCUAGGGAUUAGUGGGGGAAAUCAAAUUUCUCUUGGUGGAAGUGUAGAUCGGGGCCUUCUCGACCAAUCCCGAGCAAAUCAAUAAGUUUGAUUGGCUAGGGAGAGAGAUCGGGCAAAAAUGGAGCUUGGAGCAACAAUGGAGCUUAGAGAUGGAAGAGGUAGUCAACUAGAGGUAGGAGACACCCCUUUUAUAGCUAUGGAUAAAAUCCAACCGUUAUCCACUUAUCCAGCCCGCGACAUGUGGUACUACCGCUCCAGAAACGCGGUACUACCGCAAGGCCACGCGGUACUACCGUGAGGGACCACGGUACUACCGCGGCAGCUGUAGAGACUAGAACAUGCCUGAUUGAGAGCAGUACUUCCGCGAGCGCGGUACUACCGCUCCCCCUUGCGGUACUACCGCAAGGCAGGAAAGUCCUAGCCAUGGAAUGGUGCGGAUGAAUUAAAGUACAUCUGUGCCUACUUCCACUGGAAAACAAAUGAUGCAACAAUCCGUCACGGUACUACCGCUGGGGAGCGGUACUACCGCAUGGCAACUGAAACAGGUCGUGCGCGGUACUACCGCGCAUGAAGUUCGGUACUAUCGCGGAGGCGCGGAUGUAAAAAAUUACAUCCGCCCCUACUACCGCGAGGCAGCGGCACUUGCCCUGGGAGCCACAGUACUACGACUCCAGAGGAGCGGUACUACAGUGGGCUCCCACGGUACUACCGCGCACGAUGUGCGGUACUACCGUGGAGGCGCGGAUGGAAAAAAUUACAUCCGCCCCUACUACCGCGAAGCAGCGGCACUUGGCCUGGGAGCCAUGGUACUAUGACUCCAGAGGAGCGGUACUACCGUGGGCUCCCACGGUACUACCGCGUAGUGGCUCGGUACUACCGCAGGUGCCUGCGGUACUACCUGUGACGCCCUCGAUUCAAUCGCACACUAAUCAUACACGCAAAUGUGUACGAUCAAGAUCAAGGACUCACGGGAAGAUAUCACAACACAACUCUAGACACAAAUUAAAAUAAUACAAGCUUUAUAUUACAAGCCAGGGGCCUCGAGGGCUCGAAUACAUAAGCUCGAAAACAAAAGAGUCAGCGGAAGCAACAAUAUCUGAGUACAGACAUAAGUUAGACAAGUUUGCCUUAAGAAGGCUAGCAUAAAAGCAACAUCGAUCGAAAAGGCAAAGCCUCCUGCCUAGGAGCCUCCUAACUACUCUUGGUCGUCGGCGUCCGUCACGUGGUAGUAGGCACCCUCGGGGUAGCAGCAGUCGUCAAAGGUGGCAUCUGGCUCCUGGACUCCACCAUCUGGUUGCAACAACCAGAAAGAAGAAAGAAGGGGGAAAAGGGGGGAGCAAAGCAACCGUGAGUACUCAUCCAAAGUACUCGCAAGCAAGGAUCUACACUACAUAUGCAACAUUAUCAAAGGAAGGCUGUAUAUGUGGACUGGGCUGCAGAAAUGCCAGAAUAGAGAGAAGGUCUAGUCCUAUCGAAGACUAGCAUCUUCUGGAAACCACCAUCUUGCAGUAACCGGAAGGAGUAGAGUAGCAUAAAGUAAAGUAGUAGUAGUGUUAUCAACCUCGGCCAGAGAUCCUUUCUCGACUCCCUGCGGGAAAGAAAUCCCAGAGCCAUACUAUCCAGUUAUCAUCACAAUCAAAUCCUCAUCACCAUCCAGUUCUCAUCACAAGUAUCCAGUUCUAGUUGUAUCGAUCGGGAUACAACUCCAAGUGUCCGUUACCGUAGGACAUGCUAUGCAUAGAUUAGUUCUUCCCUGCAGGGGUGCACCAACUUACCCACCACGCUCGAUUGACUCCGGCCGGACACACUUUCCUGGGUCAUGCCCGGCCUCGGCCAAACAAUACGCCGCAACCCGACCUAGGCUUAAUAGAGAGGUCAAGCACGCCGGACUAAACCUAUGCCCCCAGGGGUCAUGGGCCAUCUCCCCGGAAACUCCUGCACGUUGCGAACGCGGCCGGUGAGCAGACCUAGCUACCUCCCUAAAAAGGCAGGAGCUUACCAGUCCAACCCGGCGCGCGCCGCUCCGUCGCUGACGUCUAUUAAGCUUCGGCUGAUGCAUACGACGCAGAACGCCCAUACUAUGCCCACGUGAUGGUUAAUGCUAUCAGGCAGAGGCCCCUCGGAUCAAAUAUCCAAAUCGUAGUGGAUUAGGAACGCGCGGUAACAAGCAGAGACUCACGAAAGAUGUGACCCCGUUGCCCCGUCUCGAGGACUUGCGGCAAGGGCUAAGAAUGCCCGGCCACGCCUCGUAAUUAUCUCUCGGGCACCUUCCAGGUCAACCCGUCUCCACAUCACUUUCCAAGUAACAGUUGUAAAGUCCAAGUAUCCGUGUGUCCAAACAUCAAGAGGAAAACCCAAGGAAUCACCCUCGGUGGGUUCCACUCAAUGUAAUCAUCAAGGUGAACGUAGAGGAAUCACCCUCGAGGUUCACACUUGAGGGGUUGCACGACAGAGCUGUAUCGGAAGUGGUUAAGGAGGAAAUCACCCUUGAUGACCACGACCGAAUAGCUACACUACAGGUUAACAUCAGAAGUGCUGUAGAGGUCUCACCCUCGACACUCGAUAGUAACCCAACAGUGUCGAGCAACUAAGGGGAAAGUGAUGUGCGGUGCCGGGGCCUGGUCUUCAAUCCCGUUGAUCGGGUCUUCAAUGAUGAAGCAGGGGCAACAAGGACAAGGUGGGGUCACUGAUGGAUCACUAACCAACCUAUACUAAGCAGAUUAGGAUAAGCAGGUAAGGUACAACAGUAGAUACAAAAGCAGGCUAUGCAUCAAAAUAGGAGCAAACAAUAACAGUAGUAAAAUCUAAUGCAAGCAUGAGAGAAUGAAAUGGGCGAUAUCGGGAUGAUCAAAGGGGGGGCUUGCCUGGUUGCUCUGGCAAGGAGGGGUCGUCGUCGUCGUAGUCGAUCACAGGGGCAACAUCGGUCUUCGGGUCUACCGAAGAGAAGAGGGGGAAGAAACAGUAAAUAUAAAGCAAACAUAGCAUCACAAAGCAUAACGUGGAAGGCAAUAAGCUGUGCCGGGUGUAACAUAACGUAUGGCUACACGAUAUAGGUGAAGGGGGAAUUCAACCGGGAAUGUAUUCCCGGUUCCGGACCUGUGUCAGCCAGAUGACCGGAGGGGAAAGUACCAUGUUCAGAUAGUUAGAGGCAUCCGACCGGUAAACAGACCGCGUAUUCGGAUUCGUCUCGUCGUUCUAAGCAACUUCCAUGUACAAAGUAUUUUCAUCCGAGCUACGGUCUAUUUCCUAUGAUUUUUCGAAGUUUAAACAAUGUUAUGGAAUUUCCUGAAAAUUGGCUAAGUCUGAGAAUUGUUCAGUUUUUGAGCAUCACUUAGCUGUUUUCCAGAGGCUAUAGCUAGUGUUCUGUACAUCCUAUGAAUUAGUGCCUUUUACCAAAUUUUAUCAUCUUUAUGUGAUCUACAUGACAGUAUCAUUGACAUCCAUUUUAGAGUUGAGUUGCUUGAUCGAAAUUGUAUUUGAAAAGUGCCACUUAAAGUUAAUUCUAGAAACUGUUAAAAUAUACGAACAUAGGAUUUUGUGAUUUUCAUAGGAUUUAAUCGUUACAUAUUUAGAAUUUGGACCAAUGGGAUAAAACGGAGUUUGUCAAGUGUACUUACCUUGAGUAUUAUCUUUACCCACAUUAGAAGUCGUUUUGUUGUAGUUUUGCUGCAGUACAGAGGGGUAAUCAGUGUGAUUGUAACAAAGCUAGCUACUGCUACAGUAACAUUCAGUUACUGUAGCAGAGCAGCAGAGUGUGGCGUACGCACACACCACACACAUAGCCGCACUUGGCCAUGGCUAUGGCCGUCAGCGGCAGCAGCAACUAAGCAACAGCGGCGGCUAGCAUCAUCUACAAAACAGCGGCAGCAGCAACUAAGCAACAGCGGCGGCUAGCAUCAUCUACAAAACAGGAGCUGCGGCGAGCAUCGGCAGUAGCGGCGAGCAUCGGCAGUAGCGGCAGCUACAGCAGCAAGAAGCAAGCAACGAGUAGCAGUGCACGGGCAUGGGGACAAGGACGCGCAGGGGCGUGGCCAUGAGCGCGAGGGGAGGGGCGGUCAGCAGCGCCAGGCGUGGUGUCGCGCGCGUGGACGGCGAUGGCGGCCACGGCCAACGCGUCCAGGUGUGACGGAGGCACGGCAACGGGUGAGCGCGGGGCUGCACGGUGCAUCAGUCCAGGGCGCUGGCCUGGACGGGGUGGCCAAGAAUGACGACGACGUUGACGGCCGAGCGGCAACAGCGGUGGCGCUCGACGGGGUCGAGCUCGAGCCCUUGGGCUCGGAUUCGAUGAACCGAGAGACUAGGCGGCAUCUACACUGCUCCUGUAGCACGCACGCAUCGAAAGAGGGAGCUAGGGGACACGGCAGCGAUGAGCCCGCCGGCCGUGGUGGACGGCCGAGCCGGAACUCGCGAGGAUGAGUGCUAGGUGACGAGCUCGAUGGCGAGAACAGAGGGGAAACCAUGUGGUGCUCACAUCGGUGACGAGGAGCAACUUGGUGCAGUCGGAGCGGGUCGAACGGCGGCGGAUCGAAGCGACGAUGAGCGGUGGCCGGAGCUUGAAGGAGUUGAUGUAGGCGAUGCAGGGUUCCCGGCUUGAUUCAGUGGGCGAGGAAGACGUAGCAGACGACGACGGGGCUCCCAGACUCAGUCCCACGGCGCGGGGAGGACAGGGAGCGUGCGAACGAUAGUGGCCAUGGCGGGGAGCUUCGGGCGAUGCGCGUGGGAGAGGGAAACGGCGCGAGGAAGGGGGGAAUGGGGCUAGGUUUUUCAGGGGAGUGCGAGGCGAUGCUCUUAACCUCCAGGGAGGGCCGCGGGAUGGCCAGCGCGUGGCCGGUGGCCAUGGUGGAUGGCCUCCACGCCCUCUGCCUCCACUGUAGCGGAGAGGAGAGGUGGAACUGGGCUGGGCUAGGCACAGUAGCUAGUGGGCUCACGUGCACAGUAGUCGAUAGGCCUUUCCCUCUUUUUUUUUCCUAUUUUGCUUUUGUUUACAGUUUUGUAUUUUUGUUGAACUAAUAAAUGAGUAUAGUUAAAUGUGCCAUUUAGCACAUAAAUACUAGGCAAGGUUUUGAAGCAGAACACAAAGUUCCAAAUUAUUUUGAACUACUUAACUAUUUGUUUAAGUUGAAAAGGUUCAAAUAAAUAC